UGUGGACUGGCGGCCAGACAUGGCGACCCGGCGGUGAAUGAUGGCGGUGGGGUCGAGGUCCCACCACCGUGGGCCCCCACCGCGCGGCGCGGGACCGGUCCUUCAACACUCAGGCCGCUUGUGGUGCAAGGGAGCUCACGAAGAGACUGCAGCACGGCGGCGGCGGCAACUCUUACUGUCGAAGCAUGUUGCAAGAUUGUGUUUUCCUUCUUGAAGGUAAACCAGCUGCAUGGUUGUUGGGACAAUAAAAUAAGAGCAGAAGUGAAGUAUGACACUUUCUAAGUGGAAGACUGCAACACUGUUGCUCUCCUCUCCAGCCCUUCUUUCCCCUCCUCUGAGGAAUGCAAUCCCAGGAGCUCACAUCCACGUGGAAGUGGUGUAAGAGUGGACCAAGGUGGAAGGCUGAGCAAAGCCAUGGAAGGACACAGCAAGGAGUGUUGCCUGGAGCCCAGCAGAUUUGUAAUAAUGGCCAGAACUCUAGGAGUCAGCCUAGAGUAAGAGAACCAGUCCCAUCCCAGGGAUGCAGUAUGGAAACA